UUAAAACAAAGAUAACAGAUUACAAGGUAUAUAAAGAACGGGACAGGCAGUUUGGAGAGCAUCGGAAAAUUAUUUUUCCAUUUGUGAGUUUACAAUUUUCUGCUCUUCUCAAAUCGUUCUCAGUGCUUGGAUUUCUUUUCUGUUUCAAUCUGGUAAUUUCUUGUGUUUGCUGUUCUCAUUUCUCAGGUAUCAUCCCAGAUCUUGUUAAAUUUUUGUUUCAUCAUCUUCCUGUUUCAAUUUCCAGAAUCAAGUAAUCUCUUCAAAAUUCAUUUUCAAUUUCUGUUGUAAACUGUAAAUGUGUUUUCUAUCGUUGUAUACAAAUCUAUUGGAUUCUAGUCCGUUUCAAUUUGUUUAGUUUAGUAAACUUUCUUUAAACAAUUUGUUUCAAUUUCUUUAAAUCAAUGUUUCUUUAAAUCAAUAACAGAUUGCAAUCAAUCGGCAAGAAAUCGCGAUGAUGAGCUGCAGACGGUGAGAAAUCGCGAGAAGCUACAAACAAUCACGAACUGCAAUUGAUCGGCGAGCAAUUAGACAGUGAGCAGGCGGCGAGAAAUCGCGAUGAAAUCCACGCAAUGAAAUCGCGAUGAAACAUACUGAAAGUCACACGCAAAAUCGGCGAGCACUAGAUCGGCUAAAAUCAGGGAUGCGAGACGCCAAAUCGGGAAAAUCCGCGAGAUUGAAGCAACGGAAAUCACCAAAUCGCUCUUCUUUUUCUCUCUCUUUUUUUUCAAGAAGGGGAAAAUCAACUAAGUUGAACAACAACAGACUGAUACCAUAUCAAACAACUCGAAAUUUAUUUGAAAUCCCAAAAUGAAAAUGUAAUUUCAUUAACCACAAAUGUGAGUUUAACAAGAGUAUUUAAAAGAAAAUUUCUAACUAAUAUAAGGACAAUUAACAAGAGUAAUUAACCACAUUAUUAACUAACUAAACCAUUACUAAGUAUUGUAUCAAUUG
rnacentral:lncRNA from 1 species